UUUAAAAAAUCUUUCAGAGAAGAAGUGUUUUUUCCUUCACUUCAGGAAUUCUACAUGAGGGAAUGUGUGGGAACAGAACUGGAUCACAGAGGCUCCAACAAGCUGCAUCCCCCUCUCCACACCCCACUAGGUCCUAAGACUCUUGAGGCACACAUCAGACUCCCAAAGUCAGGAAGUGGGGAUGUGAGCAGCACCAUACGGCAGUGACAGCGCCUUCUGCAAGAAGAGAAACUCUAAACCGAUUACAACAGUAUCAUUUCUGUGUUGAACCAUAAGUCACUGGAAACCCACUGCAACCAUGCUUCCAUAAUAGUAGCUGGAAUCUCCAAUUCUAGAAAGAAAAGGACCCCAGUGGAAAUCAGACUGUCCAACUCACCUGGCAGCCACUCCCAGAGCCCCUGGAACUCUGGCCCAAGACUCUCUGACUGACUCCUUCGCAGAUCUUCUCGACUUAGCAGCUGAAGACUGACGCUGCCCCAUCGCCUCGGAAGCCUCCUGGACCAUCACAGAUGCUUUAGGUAACUCUUACAGUGGAGGGUAAGUCCCUACCCUUCUUAAUCGAUACAGAGGCUACCAACUCCACAUUACCUUCUUUUCAAGGGCCUGUUUCCUUGCCUCUAUAACUGUUGUGGGUAUUGACGGCCAGGCUUCUACACCUCUUAAAACUCCCCAACUCUGGUGCCAACUUGGACAAUACUCUUUUACACACUGCUUUCCAGUUAUCCCCACCUGCCUAGCUCCCUUAUUAGGUCGAGACAUUUAAACUAAAUUACCUGCUUCCCUGACUAUUCCUGGGCUACAGCCACACCUCAUCGCCGUCUUUUCCCCCAGUUCAAAACCUCCUUUGCAUCCUGUCCUGUAUCUCCCCACCUUAAUCCACAAGUAUAGGAUACCUCUACUCCCUCCUUGGCAACAAAUGAUGCACCCCUUACCAUCCCAUUAAAACUUAAUCACCCUUACCCUGCUCAACGCCAAUAUCCCACCCCGGAGCACGCUUUAAAAGGAUUAAAGCCUGUUAUGACUCUCCUAUUACAGCAUGGCCUUUUAAAGUCUAUAAACUCUCUUUACGAUUGCCUCAUUUUACCCGUCCAAAAACCGGACAAGUCUUACAGGUUAGUUCAGGAUCUGUGCCUUAUCAACCAAAUUGUUUUGCCUAUCCACCCCGUGGUGCCAAACCCACAUACUCUCCUGUCCUAAAUACCUCCCUCCACAACCCAUUAUUCUGUUCUGGAUCUCAAACGUGCUUUCUUUACUAUUGCUUUGCACCCUUCAUCCCAGCCUCUCUUCACUUUCACUUGGACUGACCCUGACACCCAUCAGACUCAGCAAAUUACCUGGGCUGUACUGCUGCAAGGCUUCACAGACAGCCCCCAUUACUUCAGUCAAGCUCAAACUUCUUCCUCAUCUGUUACCUAUCUCGGCAUAAUUCUCAUGAAAACACACGUGCUCUCCCUGCUAAUCAUGUCCGGCCAAUCUCCCAAACCCCAAUCCCUUCUAUAAAACAACAACUCCUUUCCUUCUGAGGCAUGGUUGGAUAAUUCUCCUUUGGAUACCUUGUUUUGCCAUCCUAAAAAAACAUUACAUAAACUCACAAAAGGAAACCUAGCUGACCCCAUCGGUCCUAAAUCCUUUCCCGACUCCUCUUUCCUUUCCAUGAAGACAGCUUUAAAGACUGCCCCAAUACUAGCUCUCCCUGACUCAUCCCAACCCUUUUCAUUACACAUAGCUGAAGUGCAGGGCUGUGCAGUCUGAAUUCUUACACACGGACCGGGACUGCACCCUGUAGCCUUUUUGUCCAAACAACUUGACCUUACUAUUUUAGGCUGGCCAUCAUGUCUCCGUGCAGUGGCUGCUGCCGCCCUAAUAGUUUUAGAGGCCCUCAAAAUCACAAACUAUGCUCAACUCACUCUCUACGGUUCUCAUAAUUUCCAAAAUCUAUUUUCUUCCUCACACCUGACACAUAUACUUUCUGCUCCCCGGCUCCUUCAGCUGUACUCACUCUUUGUUGAGUCUCCCACAAUUACCAUUGUUCUGGCCCGGACUUCAAUCCGGCCUCCCACACCUCACCCCCAUGACUGUAUCCCUCUGAUCCACCUGACAUUCACUCCAUUUCCCCAUAUUUCCUUCUUUCCUGUUCUUCACCCUGAUCACACUUGGUUUAUUGAUGGCAGUUCCACCAGGCCUAAUUGCCACACAUCAGCAAAGGCAAGCUAUGCUAUAGUAUCUUCCACAUCUAUCAUUGAGGCUACUGCUCUGCCCCUCUCCACUACCUCUCAGCAAGCCGAACUCAUUAGCCUUAAUUCAGGCCCUCACUCUUGAAAAAGGACUAUGCGUCAAUAUUUAUACUGACCCCAUAUCCUGCACCACCAUUCUGUUUUAUGAGCUGAAAGGUUUCCUCACUACACAAGGGUCCUCCGUCAUUAAUGCCUCUUUAAUAAAAACUCUUCUCAAGGCCACUUCUAAAGAAAGCUGGAGUCAUUCACUGCAAAGGCCAUCAAAAGGCAUCAGAUCCCAUCGCUCAGGACAAUGCUUAUGCUGAUAAGGUAGCUACAAAAGCAGCUAGCGUUUCAACUUCUAUCCCUCACAGCAGUGUUUCUCCUUCUCAUCUGGUCACUCCCACCUACUCCCCCACUGAAACUUCCACCUAUCAAUCUGUUCCCACACAAGGCAAAUGGUUCUUGUACCAAGGAAAAUACCUCCUUCCAGCCUCACAGGCCCGUUCUAUUCUAUCGUUAUUUCAUAACCUCUUCCACAUUGGUUACAAGCUGCUAGCCCAUCUCUUAGAACCUCUCAUUUCCUUUCCAUCGUGGAAAUCUAUCGUCAAGGAAAUCACUUCUCAGUUGUUCCAUCUGCUAUUCUACUACUCCUCAAGGAUUG